rnacentral:piRNA from 1 species
UAGCAGGAUGAUGCCGAAAAGCAGAAGGA